GCACCUCCCAGUUUCAUGUCAUCAGAUAACCAAGUCAGAAAGGAAGAAGGGAACAAAAGCGUGGUGUUGCAUGGCUGUUCUUAGUUGGUGGAGCAAUUUGUCUGUUUAAUUCCUGUAACUAGGGAGACCCUGGCAUGCUAACUAGUUAUGCAACCCUGGAGCAGUUGGCAUCCUCCAACUCCUUAGAGGGACAAGUUCAGCCACCAAGAUUGAGCAAUAACAGGUCUAUGAUGCCUUUAGACAUCAGAGACUGUGUGCACGCUACCCAGACUGGCUCAGCAUGUGCCUACCCAGCGACAGCAGAUGCAAGUAAACUGUUGAACUGCAUUCGUGAUGGGGAUUGGUGAUUGAAUAAAUAUAAAAUAUUAUUAA
rnacentral:ncRNA from 1 species